rnacentral:rRNA from 1 species
CUUACACAUGCAAGUCGAACGGCAGCACGGACUUCGGUCUGGUGGCGAGUGGCGAACGGGUGAGUAAUAUAUCGGAACAUACCUUGUAGUGGGGGAUAACUAUCCGAAAGGAUAGCUAAUACCGCAUACGAUCUAAGGAUGAAAGGGGGGGAUCUUCGGACCUCGUGCUAUAAGAGUGGCCGAUAUCUGAUUAGCUAGUUGGUGAGGUAAAGGCUCACCAAGGCGACGAUCAGUAGCUGGUCUGAGAGGACGACCAGCCACACUGGAACUGAGACACGGUCCACAACUCCUACGGGAGGCAGCAGUGGGGAAUUUUGGACAAUGGGGGCAACCCUGAUCCAGCAAUGCCGCGUGAGUGAAGAAGGCCUUCGCGUUGUAAAGCUCUUUUGUCAGGGAAGAAACGGUUGUGGCUAAUAUCCAUGGCUAAUGACGGUACCUGAAGAAUAAGCACCGGCUAACUACGUGCCAGCAGCCGCGGUAAUACGUAGGGU